rnacentral:lncRNA from 1 species
CGGGUUGCUUCUCUCGUUACCUUCGGUUUCGUUCCGGAGUUGUGAGGUUUCAUUCGACUACGUCCGCUUGUCUUCUUCAUGGACCCGUUCUUCUUCCUUGCGGGAUCUCAGGCAAGAUGAACAUACCCUCGAAAUCACUUCUAUCUUUGCUUACUAGUUGUUCGCUCUAUUGCUAUGCCGCGCUACCUACCACUUGCUUAUCAAGCCUCCCAAAUUGCCAUGAACCUCUAACCUUUGUCACCCUUCCUAGCAAACCGUUGUUUGGCUAUGUUACCGCUUUUGCUCAGCCCCUCUUAUAGCAUUGUUAGUUGCAGGUGAAGUUGAAGAUUGCUCCUUGUUGGAACAUAAUUAUGUUGGGAUAUCACAAUAUCUCUUAUCUUAAUUAAUGCAUCUAUAUACUUGGUAAAGGGUGGAAGGCUCGGCCUUAUGCCUGGUGUUUUGUUCCACUCUUGCCGCCCCUAGUUUCCGUCAUACCGGUAUUAUGUUCCUUGAUUUUGCAUUCCUUACGCGGUUGGGUGAUUUAUGGGACCCCCUUGACAGUUCGCCUUGAAUAAAACUCCUCCAGCAAGGCCCAACCUUGGUUUUACCAUUCGCCUACCUAAGCCUUUUUCCCUUGGGUUCUGCAGACUCAAGGGACAUCUUUAUUUUAAACCCCCGGGCCAGUGCUCCUCUGAGUGUUGGUCCAACCCUUCAGUCGCCGGUGGCCACCAGGGGCAACUCUGGGCUGGCCUACCGGAAGCUUGGACAAUCCGGUGUGCCCUGAGAACGAGAUAUGUGCAGCUCCUAUCGGGAUUUGUCGGCACAUAGGGGCGGCUUUGCUGGUCUUGUUUUACCAUUGUCGAAAUGUCUUGUAACCGGGAUUCCGAGGCUGAUCGGGUCUUCCUGGGAGAAGGAAUAUCCUUCGUUGACCGUGAGAGCUUAUAAUGGGCUAAGUUGGGACACCCCUGCAGGGUAUUUAUCUUUCGAAAGCCGUGCCCGCGGUUAUGUGGCAGAUGGGAAUUUGUUAAUGUCCGGUUCUAGAGAACUUGACACUCGACUUAAUUAAAAUACAUCAACCGCGUGUGUAGCCGUGAUGGUCUCUUCUCGGCGGAGUCCGGGAAGUGAACACAGUUUCUGGGUUAUGUUUGACGUAAGUUGGAGUUCAGGAUCACUUCUUGAUCAUUGCUAGUUCACGACCGUUCCUUUGCUUCUCUUCUCGCUCUUAUUUGGGUAUGUUAGCCACCAUAUAUGCUUAGUCGCUGCUGCAAUCUCACCACCUUACCCUUUCCUACCCUUAAGCUUAAAUAGUCUUGAUCUCGCGGGUGUGAGAUUGCUGAGUCCUCGUGACUCACAGAUACUUCCAAAACAGUUGCAGGUGCCGACGAUACCAGUGCAGGUGACGCAACCGAGCUCAAGUGGGAGCUCGAUGAAGAUCUUGUUCGUUGUGUUGUUUCUUUUCAUUUUGAUCAGUAGUGGUGCCCAGAUGGGACGAUCAGGGAUCUAGCAGUUGGGUUGUCUUCUUUUCUUUUGGUUCCGUAGUCGGACCUAUGUGUGUACUCUGAAUGAUGUAUGUUUUUUUCAUGUAUUUUGUGAAGUGGCGAUUGUAAGCCAACUCUUUAUCCCAUUCUUGUUCAUUACAUGGGAUUGUGUGAAGAU